rnacentral:pre_miRNA from 1 species
CCCUUAACUAUUAAAAGUUUCGUUUUGAUCCCUUAACUUACUUUUUGGUUUCGUUUUGGUCCCUUAACUCUUCCUCCGUCAACCACUUUGGUCCUUUAUGUUAGGAUGAAUGUAUUAGAGUUAAAGACCAAAACGAAAUCAAAAAAAUAAGUUAAGUGACCAAAACAAAACCAAAAAAUAAGUUAAGGGACCAAAACGAAACUUUUAAUAGUUAAGGGACCAAAACAAAACCAAAAAAUAAGUUAAGAGACCAAAGCGAAACUUUUAAUAAUUAAGGGA